AUUGAACGCUGGCGGCAGGCCUAACACAUGCAAGUCGAGCGCGAAAGUACUUCGGAAUGAGUAAAGCGGCGGACGGGUGAGUAAUACAUGGGAAUCUGCCUGGUAGUGGGGGACAACGUUUCGAAAGGAACGCUAAUACCGCAUACGCCCUACGGGGGAAAGGGGGGGAUCUUCGGACCCCUCGGCUAUCAGAUGAGCCC
rnacentral:rRNA from 1 species